CGAAGGAUCCAAGCGUUGUCCGGAUUUACUGGGUUUAAAGGGUGCGUAGGCGGACUAUUAAGUCAGUGGUGAAAGCUUGCAGCUUAACUGUAAAAUUGCCAUUGAAACUGAUAGUCUCGAAUAUGGUUGAGGUAGUUGGAAUGUAUCAUGUAGCGGUGAAAUGCUUAGAUAUGAUACAGAACACCGAUUGCGAAGGCAGAUUACUAAACCAUUAUUGACGCUGAGGCACGAAAGCGUGGGGAUCAAACAGGAUUAGAUACCCUGGUAGUCCACGCCCUAAACGUUGCAUACUCGGUUUUAGCGAUAUACCGUUAGGACCCAAGCGAAAGCGUUAAGUAUGCCACCUGGGAAGUACGUCCGCAAGGAUG
rnacentral:rRNA from 1 species